rnacentral:rRNA from 1 species
UUAAAUUGAAGAGUUUGAUCAUGGCUCAGAUUGAACGCUGGCGGCAGGCCUAACACAUGCAAGUCGAACGGUAACAGAAAGAAGCUUGCUUCUUUGCUGACGAGUGGCGGACGGGUGAGUAAUGUCUGGGAAACUGCCUGAUGGAGGGGAUAACUACUG